rnacentral:rRNA from 1 species
GACGAACGCUGGCGGCGUGCUUAACACAUGCAAGUCGAACGGAAAGGCCCUGCUUUUGUGGGGUGCUCGAGUGGCGAACGGGUGAGUAACACGUGAGUAACCUGCCCUUGACUUUGGGAUAACUUCAGGAAACUGGGGCUAAUACCAGAUAGGAGCUCCUGCUGCAUGGUGGGGGUUGGAAAGUUUCGGCGGUUGGGGAUGGACUCGCGGCUUAUCAGCUUGUUGGUGGGGUAGUGGCUUACCAAGGCUUUGACGGGUAGCCGGCCUGAGAGGGUGACCGGUCACAUUGGGACUGAGAUACGGCCCAGACUCCUACGGGAGGCAGCAGUGGGGAAUAUUGCACAAUGGGCGGAAGCCUGAUGCAGCAACGCCGCGUGCGGGAUGACGGCCUUCGGGUUGUAAACCGCUUUCGCCUGUGACGAAGCGUGAGUGACGGUAAUGGGUAAAGAAGCACCGGCUAACUACGUG